AUUGAACGCUGGCGGCAUGCCUUACACAUGCAAGUCGAACGGCAGCACGGGAGCAAUCCUGGUGGCGAGUGGCGAACGGGUGAGUAAUAUAUCGGAACGUGCCCAGUAGUGGGGGGAUAGCCCGGCGAAAGCCGGAUUAAUACCGCAUACGACCUGUGGGUGAAAGCGGGGGAUCGCAAGACCUCGCGCUAUUGGAGCGGCCGAUAUCAGAUUAGCUAGUUGGUGAGGUAAUGGCUCACCAAGGCGACGAUCCGUAGCUGGUCUGAGAGGACGAUCAGCCACACUGGGACUGAGACACGGCCCAGACUCCUACGGGAGGCAGCAGUGGGGAAUAUUGCACAAUGGGCGAAAGCCUGAUGCAGCAAUGCCGCGUGUGUGAAGAAGGCCUGCGGGUUGUAAAGCACUUCGGUAGGGAAGAUAAUGACGGUACCUACAGAAGAAGCACCGGGCUAACUCCGUGCCAGCAGCCGCGGUAAU
rnacentral:rRNA from 1 species